UCGGAUCGUUUUAGAAACAUUCAGGGGCCAACAGUUUCAGGAUUGUUGAGCUCCGUUGGCGGGAUUUCGCCGUCUUCGUUUCUCUUUCUUCGCGGACGAACACGCGCCAGGGGCUGAGCGCUGUGCGGUGCACCGACUCCACGUCAGGUGCGCGCCGGCAUGUCUCUCGUGUUAGGGGCUUGUAGCUCAGUUGGUUAGAGCGCGCGCUUGAUAAGCGUGAGGUCGGAAGUUCAAGUCUUCCCAGGCCCACCAUUUUGAUCGAGUGCGGAGCAUUCGUCUUCUGGUACGGGGCCAUAGCUCAGCUGGGAGAGCGCGUGCUUUGCAAGCAUGAGGUCGUCGGUUCGAUCCCGUCUGGCUCCACCAGAUGGGAUUGAAGCUCGAGAAUGCGCCUUGUGCAGGAAGCUCUGUUCAAUAUCGUCCGCGAAACAUCACUUCGCACUCAUUGGUCCGGAUGGACGGUGACGUGCGUGUUUUCUGACAUCGUAAAGAGGAGAUCGAUCCGAGUUUGGAUCUGCGGAGUAAUUCGCGGGUACCAUUCCUAAUCUCCAGAUCGUUUUCGGCGCUCGCGCAUCGCGGCUCAUCGCAAGGUGAGUGAGGUGAGCGAGUUGUAAAACGAUCUUUGUAGCGAAGCUUGACCGCCUCGCUAUCGGGCCGAUCUUACGAAGCAAGCUGGUCUUUCUAGUCAAUGUCCGGCUGCGACAAUCGCAUCUUCGAGGGUGCGUGCCUUCAGUGGCAGUUGCGCAGACAACAUUCUGCCGAGUGUGUGGACAUUGAUAAUGAGAGCAAUCAAGUGCCUUAAGGGUGUUCGGUGGAUGCCUUGGCGCUGAGAGGCGAUGAAGGACGUGCUACGCUGCGAUAAGCCGUGGGGAGCUGCGAAGAAGCUUUGAUCCACGGAUUUCCGAUG
rnacentral:misc_RNA from 1 species